GGCGGACGGGUGAGUAACGCGUGGGAAUCUGCCUACUAGCGGGGGAUAGCCCGGAGAAAUCCGGAUUAAUACCGCAUACGCCCUACGGGGGAAAGCUGGGGAUCUUCGGACCUGGCACUAGUAGAUGAGCCCGCGUUGGAUUAGCUUGUUGGUGGGGUAAAGGCCUACCAAGGCAACGAUCCAUAGCUGUUCUGAGAGGAAGAUCAGCCACACUGGGACUGAGACACGGCCCAG
rnacentral:rRNA from 1 species